rnacentral:rRNA from 1 species
GACGAACGCUGGCGGCGUGCCUAACACAUGCAAGUGGAGCGACGAACCAGGGCUUGCCCUGGGGCCAAGCCGCGAACGGGUGAGUAACACGUGGGUAACCUGCCCAGAUGACCGGGACAACCCGAGGAAACUCGGGCUAAUACCGGAUGUGACCCUCACACAUCAGUGUGAGGACCAAAGGAAGCUUCGGCCUCCGCAUCUGGAGGGGCCCGCGGCCCAUUAGCUUGUUGGUGAGGUAAUGGCUCACCAAGGCCAUGAUGGGUAGCUGGUCUGAGAGGACGAUCAGCCACACUGGGACUGAGACACGGCCCAGACUCCUACGGGAGGCAGCAGUGGGGAAUCUUGCGCAAUGCGCGAAAGCGUGACGCAGCAACGCCGCGUGA